rnacentral:rRNA from 1 species
GACGAACGCUGGCGGCGCGCCUAACACAUGCAAGUCGAACGGAGCCGCGGUAAGCUUGCUCUUCUUAGCUUAGUGGCUAACGGGUGAGUAACGCGUACGUAACCUUCUCUGUUUUGGGGGACAACAGCUGGAAGCGACUUCUAAUACCACAUAAUCCCACGUACCGGCAUCAGCAGGAGGGAAUAGGAUUUAUUCGCGUUAGGAUGGACUGUCGUCGAAUUAGCUAGUUGGUGGGGUAACGGCCCACCAAGGCGAGGACUGGUAGACGGACUGAGAGGUUGAGCGGCGACAUUGGGACUGAGACGCAGUCCAGAAUACUAGGGGAGGCGGGAGUGGGGGAUAUAGCAAUAUGGGGGAAAUCAUGAUGCAGCGAGGCCGCGUGGAGGAAGAAGGUUUUAGGAUUGUAAAGUACUGUAGUUAGGGACGAUAAUGACGGUACCUAAAAAGAAAGCACCGGCUAACUACGUG